rnacentral:lncRNA from 1 species
AAUUUUGCUAUUCUCACCAUCGAUGGAGAUGAAGCAUCAGCAGUUCGAACUAAUAGUCCCCUUCAAGUUAAAACUGGCGAGAAGUACUUUUUUGGAGGUUUUCUGAACCAGAUGAAUAACUCAAGUCACUCUGUCCUUCAGCCUUCAUUCCAAGGAUGCAUGCAGCUCAUUCAAGUGGACGAUCAACUUGUAAAUUUAUACGAAGUGGCACAAAGGAAGCCGGGAAGUUUCGCGAAUGUCAGCAUUGACAUGUGUGCGAUCAUAGACAGGUAGUUCCAGCUGGAUGCUGUAUUGCAAGAAUGAGUGCCCUAGCUUCUUUGUUGGUCUUGUCCACAGAUGAGUAAAGAGAUCCUCGCAACUUCUGAUAGGACUCAACAAGUUGUCCUUUAUAACUGUUUUAUCUCAGAGACAAUGCAGAUCCCCAGAAUGUCUGUGAAAC